UAAGGAAUAUUGGACAAUGCCCGCAAGGGUGAUCCAGCCAUGCCGCGUGCAGGAAGACGGCCCUAUGGGUUGUAAACUGCUUUUACACCGGAGAAAACCUCCCCUCGUGAGGGGAGCUGAUAGUAUGGUGAGAAUAAGCAUCGGCUAACUUCGUGCCAGCAGCCGCGGUAAGACGAAGGAUGCAAGCGUUAUCCGGAUUCAUUGGGUUUAAAGGGAGCGUAGGUGGCCUUAUAAGUCAGUGGUGAAAUCUCUGGGCUUAACCCAGAAAUUGCCAUUGAUACUGUAGGGCUUGAGUACAGUUGCUGUGGGCGGAAUAUGACAUGUAGUGGUGAAAUACAUAGAGAUGUCAUAGAACACCGAUUGCGAAGGCAGCUCACAAAACUGUAACUGACACUGAGGCUCGAAAGUGCGGGGAUCAAACA
rnacentral:rRNA from 1 species